rnacentral:rRNA from 1 species
GAUGAACGCUGGCGGCGUGCUUAACACAUGCAAGUCGAACGAUGAAGCCCAGCUUGCUGGGUGGAUUAGUGGCGAACGGGUGAGUAACACGUGAGUAACCUGCCCUUAACUCUGGGAUAAGCCUGGGAAACUGGGUCUAAUACCGGAUAGGAGCGUCCACCGCAUGGUGGGUGUUGGAAAGAUUUAUCGGUUUUGGAUGGACUCGCGGCCUAUCAGCCUGUUGGUGAGGUAAUGGCUCACCAAGGCGACGACGGGUAGCCGGCCUGAGAGGGUGACCGGCCACACUGGGACUGAGACACGGCCCAGACUCCUACGGGAGGCAGCAGUGGGGAAUAUUGCACAAUGGGCGCAAGCCUGAUGCAGCGACGCCGCGUGAGGGAUGACGGCCUUCGGGUUGUAAACCUCUUUCAGUAGGGAAGAAGCGAAAGUGACGGUACCUGCAGAAGAAGCACCGGCUAACUACGUG